UUUAGAUACUCCAAAAAAGGGAAGGCAAUCAAUGGAAGUCUUGGACUGCGAUGAGGUGACAACUUGUCCAGGGUGUACUCCGCCUUCCGCCCGAUUGUAGCUGAGAUAGGCGCCAGCGCUUCCCGCGACCCCAAAAGGGAAUAAGCGGUAGAAAUUGGAUGGAUGGAGGUUGAAUAGGAAGGGUUGGACUUCCACAUUUUUGAGUAAGGCGUUUGUGUACAGGUAUUAAGCAAUAAUGUAACUUGUAUAAGAUGUUGGCAAGGGGAUACAAAGGAGGGAAAAACAACUAAAAUGUCCUUUAUCCAGGUUAACUUUGUCAUUAUCACAGAAGUGGACUUACCGUUGGUUUAUGGGAGAUUUGAAGAAGUCCACCGAGAAGCCAAAGUAGCUUCCUGGGGGGCCGCUGAAGACCGAGGGUCCCUCGGCGUCCAAGUUGAAGGAGGCGCCGCGGUGGAGGAACAAGCACACCAAGAGCAGGAACGCAUGACACGGCCGGCCUAACGCCAUGACCACCACGGCUGCUCCGGCUACCGCCCGAGGACUCGCGAAAGUAGGAGGCGGGCAGGGGACGAUGCCAACUGGCUAGCCGCCGAGCUAGCUUGCAAACACAGCGACGCUACUUUUACGGCCGCCUCAGCACAAAAGUUGUGUCCCGGAGAGCUGCGAAAACACAGAAGCCGCCUUCUGAGAGGCGUAGCUCGGACAAGAAAAAGGGCCGCUUCACCAGUUGGCGAAAAGGAAGACGCCGGGGCAGAAGCCGUCAAUGUCGGCGUUGAUGGAGUAGUGUCACCGUAGGACGGCUUGCCACAGCCCCGAGUCACAACAAGCUAAUUUGUGCUCCGUCGUAACCCACACAAUAUCCGAUUAUUUUUCACCAAAAUAAAAGACUCAUGGGUAUUAACCUCUUCUGGAUACUUUAUUAUGGUAACAAUUGUAAUUUAUUUCCGUCCAGUUGGGGCUUGCCUCUGAAGACAUUACAACUUUAGCCUCAUGGUAUUUUCAGAAUCAGAAUCGGCUUUAUUGUCAUUACGCAGGGUAACAAGAUUGAGGCCAUUCCAUACAGUGCAAUGUGUGUAUAUUUCAAUUGUAUUCUCGUUAUAGUAAACAUUUAUUAUUCUAACAUUAAGACAUUAUUCACUAAGUUUACUAUGUAUUCUCCCAACCAUACAAAUCUACUAUUGUAGCUAUUUUCUAGAAAUUUCCCAUGUACCAUAAUGCACUACAGGUUUGUGCAUGACUUGUUUUACUGUUUUUUGUUUUGCAGCUAAGCAUGCAAUAUGGAUGGACUGUCUUUAGUUGGGGCUCCACGGUGGGAGAGGGGUUAGUGCGUGUGCCUCACAAAAAUUUCCCAUGUACCAUAAUGCACUACAGUUGUCUCCGUUGUCUCAGAAGUGAGCCGUGCGCCUCACACUCUGGAUCUCCCCCAGGACCUUGACUGCCUUCCUCAAUCCUCGACUAUCCCCGUUUUCGGACACGGACCUUUGGAGGUCUCUCUCCAGCCCCACGGACAUCGCUUGGAUCACAGACCUUUUUUGCUUAGCCCCUUUGGACUUGUUUGCCUCCACAACCAACACGCACUUACAGCAACCUCCGGUAAAUACUGUCUAGUUAAAUUCUACACAUAAUCUCGCCUGUGCACUUAUAGUAGCAUACACACUCCACGUAUUCAUCAAGAGCUCAAUAAAACCCAUUGAGCUAGACCUCCUGUUGUUGUGCCAUCUCCUUCCCCCUAGUCUACUUAAAUACUUUAGUACUUUUACUUAAGGAAUAUUUUUGACUACUCUAUUUUUAUUGUUAUUGAGUUAAUAUUUGCAAGAAAUAUUUGCACUUUUUCUAAAGUAAUUUACAUUGUCCCACAGCUAUACACAAAACAGGUCUUUUACCAUAGCUUUGUAUUUUAUUUCUGUUUUUGGAUGCAGGAAUGAAUUGUGGCAACACCAUGUCGCCAAGACAACAGGAAGUGAAGUUUGCUACAGGAAAUACAUUGUGGUUGUGUAUAUAAGGUUGGCCAGCAGCACAGAAUGCAUUUUUCAAGCUGACACACAACAUUGUGUGUCUUGUGUGAUGAUAUGUGAUGAUUAAUUAGCAGUGUACUUCUACUAUAGAUAUAGCCCUUUGCUGAUAGGUAAUUUCCCUCCACCAUGAUACAAUAUGUUUACUAUUGGACAGUCAGACACAAGGUUCACUAUUGGCUUCAUAAAAAAAUAAUUCAGCUUCUAAAAGAAAUUCCCAUUAGGCCAUGGUCUGGAAUCAUUCUGAAGGUUCACAAAAUUUUAGUCGCUACGGAAACAGCCUGAGAAGACAAGCAAAACAAGGAUUGGGUGAUCAGACCGGAUUAGUCUCAGCAGCAGAGGCGUGGGUUACCUAAUUGGACCAGGACAUGCUGAUGAGGGCGGGGCUUUCAUCAACAUAUUCAGACCUGGCAGCCCUGCGUCUUCUCUUUGCAGCACCACCACAACUCUGAGACAAAGUGUUGGGAUAGGUCAGGAUGUUUGGCUAACAUUUGGGAAAUGGAGGGUGUUUAUGCCUAUAAAAAUACGGUAGGAUUGAAUGAACAGAGGUGUGUCUUGAUUGGGGUAAGGUGAUGUGAGUAUGGUGUUAUCAAGACUGAAAGAUGGUGUCUUACUUUUAAUUCUCGGCUAAGAAAUGUUGUUCUACUUUGUCAUUAGUGGUUAGGUUUAAGACAGGCAUUGGGCUUUAAAUCAAGAUGUCAAGCAAAGUACCGGCUGGCAGUCUCCACUCUGGUUGGGGCACAGUUCAACUUUGCAGUGCAAGUAGACCUCAUAGUUUCCUCCAGUGAAGUAGAACAUGUUGAAGGAGAAGCUGUUGGACACUGCAACGCCAUUGUACAUCACGUUCACUGAGGGCUCCACAGGGCUCGGACAACUUCCCGGAAACAGGAACAUACAGAUCUGAUUUUCUGGCCUGCCUCAUUAACUAAGAGCUAGAUCAGGUCGUAUCUCAGACCCUCAUUGGGCAAUGAGCUGUUGGUGGCCCAACAGGAGUUGGUCACCAAGUAGACCAGGUUGUCAUCCAGACCUUCUGUCAUCAGCUCCACCCAGACCCUCUGGUUCAACUGAAUUUCUGUAUCUAACGUCACAGGUUGUGUGUGUCGGUCGUCCUCGUAGACUGUCAUCUUCAGAGUGUAAUUCCAGGAUUCAGAUACCACCUGCUGGAAAACAGAGCUGCACACACACACACACACACACACACACACGCACUCCAAUCUUUAUGUUGUCGUUUUCAAAAGCAAUUGAUGAAAGUCAGAUGUCUCAAACUUACUUGUCUUUGAUUCUAAAGCGCACACUCUGGACGUCUGGCUGGUUAUGGUAGCAGGAAAAGUUAACAUGGAAUUCGUCAAAGUUAGCAACAAUUUCAGAGGUGUUCAAUCCAGUGACACUGUUCUUGUACACAACCACGCUGUCAUUGGCCUGCAUGGACAUUCAAGAGUUCAACACGUGGAUCACAAACAGUAGGAGUGUCAGGACAAGAGAGACCCCCACCGUGACCACCGUCCCACAGGCGUUGCUGUUACUAAAGUUGAAGGUCACCAUAUGGUCCAUGUCUCUGUAACCUCCACAAGAAUCAUCAUUGAGGUGCAAAUCCGUGUAUCUGAAGCCUUUUUCCUCCAGGAGACAACCAACCAGAGUGAUUGAACCAGUGUUGUUCAUGCAGACCGCCGGAUCACCUGUGGAUCAGAACACCUUUGUUUUGUCACUUCUUGUACCAUGUGGGACAAACCCCUCAGUCUUACCUAAAGUGUCAUUGGACCUGAAGUCGGAAGCAAAAAUGGCUCGACAGAAGCAGUUGAUUUGACCGUUGAUGCCGUCAGCGCAGAACUCGUGAUCAACACAGCGUGUGUCAUUGCAGAAGGCCUGAGGGGCAGCUGGAACACAAACACAUCAGCACCAUUAGAAUCAUGAGACUCUCUGUUGUGAUUUAACUUGAUCAAUGUGUUUUAAUGAGACAGGGGGUUUACGGCAGUUGGCAUCCUUUCUCCAGUCGUCCAACAUGUGGUCCUGUUUCAGGCUGCAGGCGUGGGCGUAGGCCUCCAGAAAUUCACACCUGAGGCCGUCCACAUCUGGAUAAUGACACAGCGUAUAGUUGCAGGCGGAAAUGUACGGCUUGGGGUCAAUAACCGUGUGACAGUCGGUGAAGUCGUAGCCGUUUAGGACUUGACAGCUGAAAUGAAGGUGGAAGGAGGCAAGGUCAAGACAGAAUAGAAGCUGCUUGUGUUGUGGAGUGUUUCUGCUCACUGUUCAGUCACUGUGGUGCAAUUGAUGGAUUCGUCAGCCGGCUCACUGUACUGCAUCUCACAGCUAGGUAGAGAACACACAGCGGGGGGUGGUUACAAAAAAAACACACACAUUUGAUAUUCAUGAUGUUGCGGUCAGCAGGAUGCUGUAGUGACGAAGUCUCACCCCGCAGAGCUGAAAUCAUUCGACUUCAUGACACUCAAAGCCACGCUGGAGUUUACACAAAGUCCGUCGGAAUUUUCAGUUAUGUUUUUUUCAGUUUCUGUUGAGAAGUUUGAAAGGAGAUCACUUUGAACUGAGUCACUAAAAAUAAAAGU